GGAAAAUUACAAGAAAAACAAGUAUUCAACUUAAAAGAACUCAUAAUGAGAAACAUUGGCAGAUUCUGUGGUGCAUACCCAAAAGCUAGAUCCCAAGGAAUACUAACACAGCAGAGGAAAUAUCAGUUUACUAUCGACUUCAGGAGACUAGAAGGGGUGGGUUUCGGGAUCAUAUAAUAUGACAACCAAAGCGAUAAAAACCCACACUAUGAGGACGCCAAUCACAGCAGUUCUCCACAAGUAAUCCCAGUUCUAAUUAAUGGGAACGUCGGCCUCAAAAUUCAGAUGUGGUGACAGCAGAUCCUCACCAUCACUAACAUAUUCAGUUGAAUCUAUC
rnacentral:misc_RNA from 1 species